rnacentral:rRNA from 1 species
GACGAACGCUGGCGGCGUGCUUAACACAUGCAAGUCGUACGGUAAGGCCCUUUCGGGGGUACACGAGUGGCGAACGGGUGAGUAACACGUGAGUAACCUGCCCACAACUUUGGGAUAACGCUAGGAAACUGGUGCUAAUACUGGAUAUGUGCUCCUGCUGCAUGGUGGGGGUUGGAAAGCUCCGGCGGUUGUGGAUGGACUCGCGGCCUAUCAGCUUGUUGGUGGGGUAGUGGCCUACCAAGGCGGCGACGGGUAGCCGGCCUGAGAGGGUGACCGGCCACAUUGGGACUGAGAUACGGCCCAGACUCCUACGGGAGGCAGCAGUGGGGAAUAUUGCACAAUGGGCGCAAGCCUGAGGCAGCAACGCCGCGUGCGGGAUGACGGCCUGCGGGUUGUAAACCGCUUUCAGCAGGGACGAAGCUUUUUGUGACGGUACCUGCAGAAGAAGCACCGGCUAACUACGUG